GCACCGAUGGUGUAUGGCACACCCACCGACAGAAUCAGAAGAAAUUGUCAUAAUGUUAUUACAACGGCGGACCGGGGUUCGAUUCCCCGUUGGUGCA